rnacentral:rRNA from 1 species
CAUUCCCUACGGGGGGCAGCAGUGAGGAAUAUUGGUCAAUGGGCGGGAGCCUGAACCAGCCAAGUCGCGUGAGGGAAGACGGUCCUACGGCUUGUAACCCUCUUUUGCCGGGGAGCAACGGGGUCCUUGCGAGGGCCCGAUGAGAGUACCCGGAGAAAAAGCAUCGGCUAACUCCGUGCCAGCAGCCGCGGUAAUACGGAGGAUGCGAGCGUUAUCCGGUUUUAUUGGGUUUAAAGGGUGCGUAGGCGGGCUGUUAAGUCAGCGGUCAAAUGUCGGGGCCCAACCCCGGCCUGCCGUCGAAACUG